CCCCUAGAUGUUCUGGGCCGCACGCGCGCUACACUGAACAGUUCAACAAGUCUUAACCUUGGCCGAUAGGUCUGGGUAAUCUUUGAACGCUGUUCGUGAUUGGGAUAGACCUUUGCAAUUAUGGGUCUUCAACGAGGAAUUCCUAGUAAACGCAAGUCAUCAGCCUGCAUUGAUUACGUCCCUGCCCUUUGUACACACCGCCCGUCGCACCUACCGAUUGAAUGGUCCGGUGAAAUCUCGGGACGGCGGCUUGGUCGCUUGCGUCCGACUGCUGAAACUUGAUUAAACCAUAUCAUUUAGAGGAAGGUGAAGUCGUANCA
rnacentral:rRNA from 1 species